rnacentral:rRNA from 1 species
AGAACGAACGCUGGCGGCAUGCCUAACACAUGCAAGUCGAACGCUUUUGGGGCUUCGGUCCCAAAGGAGUGGCGCACGGGUGAGUAGCGCGUGGGAACCUGCCCUGUUGUGGGGGAUAACCGAGGGAAACUUCGGCUAAUACCGCAUACGCCCGGGGGAAACUCCGGGGAAAGAUUUAUCGCAGCAGGAGGGGCCCGCGUCGGAUUAGCUAGUUGGCGGGGUAACGGCCCACCAAGGCGAUGAUCCGUAGCUGGUCUGAGAGGAUGAUCAGCCACACUGGGACUGAGACACGGCCCAGACUCCUACGGGAGGCAGCAGUGGGGAAUAUUGGACAAUGGGCGCAAGCCUGAUCCAGCAAUGCCGCGUGAGUGAUGAAGGCCUUCGGGUUGUAAAGCUCUUUUGGCGGGACGAUGAUGACGGUACCCGCAGAAGAAGACCCGGCUAACUUCGUGCCAGCAGCCGC